rnacentral:rRNA from 1 species
CAGAAGGAUCAUUAGUGAAUCUUUAUUGCCGUACUUCUCUUC